rnacentral:tRNA from 1 species
CGGGAUGUAGCUCAGCUUGGCUAGAGCGCUACGUUCGGGACGUAGAGGUCGUAGGUUCGAAUCCUAUCAUCCCGA